AAACUAAGUGCUUCAGACUACAAGAUUUCUUUGCAUUAUCUUUCUUCCUGCUUCGUCCUUUCCAUUUUUCAGAAGGGAAUGGAGAAGAGAGAAGAGAAAGAAGAGAAAAAGCAAAGAAGGAAAAAAAAGAAUGUUUAAAACUGAAUGGCAAAAGAAAAGGAAAUACUAAGAUUAAAUGUUCACAAAGAAGCUUUCCACCAAAAUGAUUCCUCCCUACCCCUCCACAGCGCUUUCCUUUAAAAGCCUCUGGAAUUAAAGCAGACACAUUUGUCGCAAGUUUUGUGUUUGUGUUUGGAACAGUUUCGGCUUCUAUCUCUAACCACACUGAAUAGGUGAAUAACAAAAUCCAGUGGAUAUGAACUAUGAGUUAGCCUGACCACAGGAGAUGAUGGGGCUUUCUCUCUUAAAAUCAGUCUGAAAUUUCAUAAUACAGUCUUAAGAGGAGCUGAACCAACUGCAAGAUAACAGCAAACUUGCAGCAGAACUGGGCUGUUCUUCCUUUCCUCUUUCACCAGACAAAAAUAAAAUGAAAGUAGGGAAAUAGCUGCUGUAAUCUUCUGCAUUUUACACAGAGCCUGUGAUGAGUAUCUUUACUUUUCUCUCCUCUAAGCUGUUUCUACAGCAAGGAGCUCGAGGAACAGCUCUUACUGUGCUGAAGGAGGUGUACUUGAUAUAACAUAAACAAGUAAAUUAUCUUAAAAAGAUCCGAAAAAGAAUACAUUUCUCAUCACUGGAAUAUGUGUCAUGUUAAUUGUAUUUAAAAACAAAAUAAAAUAAAACAAAAACACUGGAUAACAUUUUAAUUCACGUUCAAUGUGAGGACUUUUUCACUGCUUUCUGGCUUCAGUUAUUGAACCAUUAAUUACUUGACUUUCCCUCUAAGUUUAGUAAUAAUAUUGUUUCAAGCAAUAAACAUUAAAUAUUUACAACUUUUCUUCCCUUGUCUUUUACUAUUUUGCCAGAUCAACAAUUGCAAUCUCUACUUUUCCUUUCCAUGUAGGAUGUCACUUUUUUCAUAUAUCUGUUCAUAUCCCCUGCCAGCUGGGUUGGAGAAGUGUUUUGUCCAUUUGCUGUUGCUGCCAGCAUCCAAGAGGUUGGAGAAUUCCCUGACUUUCAGCACAAUUCUCCUGGCAAUAUUCCAACCAUUUUCAAAAAGAAAAGCAGAGCAAAGUCUCUACCUAAAUUCCUGAUUUUUGCAGAAUUACCCCAAAUGUGGGGGGCACUCAGUAUAUUGCAAAGUGCCACUUCCAAUAAGGCUUAGCCUCUUAAAUUGAGUUUGUUAUUAAAAAAUGAAUUAUUGAACAUUAGUACUCACACAGAAAUGAGUCCAGUUUAGAGAGCACAGCCUGGACCUCGAGCCAUGCAGCACAUCUGCUUUGUGAAUAUACUUUGCUAUUCUGACAGAGAACUUCUGAGGUAGCUCUGCACUAUGUGAUGUAUUAGGAUACCUCUGCUAAUAAAUCUUUAAUGCUGGAAAGUGGCCCAAAGCACUGGUCUGUCAUCUCCUGUACUGUUAAAUCACUACUGUGACUUAUGAAGCAGUUUCAACUCAAGCCAAUUUAUCUCCCAGGAAAUCCUGGUUAGAUUCCAAGGAGAUAAAUAGAAAGGACAGCACUCUUUAAAGGCGCUUUGGAGGUGACACCAUUCUUCAGAGGAUAAAUACCAGAAAAUGAUCCCUGUCAGGGCUGAUUCCAGCCCUGGCAGGGCUCUUGGGGGGGGGAUGAGGGCUCUGGGGUGAGAUUGCUGGGGACCUUUCUGUGGUUUGCUUUAUCAGUGCUCACUCUCUCUUCCAGGGCUGUGUGGUUUUUUCUUUGAUGCCAGAGUGCCAAUCCCUCUCCUUCUCUUCUUACUCAGCCCUAAAUAUCGGCAGUCUGGCUCUGCUCUGUAAUGCUCAGAGUGCUUUGAGAGAGAUCGAGGAGAUGUAUAUGCAAGGUGAUGCUGUUCCUAGGCCACAACUAUUUUUGUGACCCUUUAAUUCUUUGAAUUCUUUUUAAUUAACACUAUAAAAAUGAGUGCAGGUAAGUUAACACGGACUAAUGUAGUCUAGUAACAUCAUUACUUCAAACUGUGGUCUUCAAACUGAUAUCCCAACCUACCUGAAAUUCUUCAGAAUCAUAUUAUCUGAAUAUUCAAAAUUUAAUUUGGUUGAUUGGUUUGUUGUUUCCAGAUGGCAUUAGAGCCACUUCAUAAAUUACCAGAAGAGCAGAAAGUCUCAGAAAAGUCACUGCUCCCAGAGCAGCUGGAGAUGUAAAGUAUAAUAAUAAGAAAUAAUAAUAGAAUAUGUGUGUGUGUGUGUGUGUGUGUGUGUGUGCAUAUAUAUAAAGAGAAACAAGUCUUACAUGUUUCCUUCCAGAAGAAAAACAGCUUUCAGUUUACUUUUAGGGAAUAAUGUUAUGAGGUGAAAUGUAACAAGUAAUUUCUUAGUGUGCCAGCAGGAUUUCUUACCCUCUUAAAACAAACAUCUGCGCAAAUAAACUUCUAACACAGUGGUAACCUCAACCUCUUCACCCCUUUCAUCAGUCUGUAAUAAAGGCUGCUAUUAAUACACGAAGAACACCCACCACCUCUCCGGGCAACCUGUUCCAGCACCUCACCACCCUUACAGUAAAAAACUUCUUCCUUAUACCCAAUCUAAAUCUCCCCUCUUUUAGUUUGAAAUCAUUUCCCCUUGUCCAGUCACAACAGAUCCUGCUAGAGAAUCUGUCCCAUUCUUUCUUACAGCCCCCCUUUAGAUACAAACAGGCUGCUAUCAGGUCACCUCGCAGCCUUCUCUUCUCCAGGCUGAACAGCCCCAGCUCUCUCAGCCUGUCCUCAUAAGGGAGGUGUUCCAUCCCUUGGAUCAUUUUUGUGGCUCAUCUCUGGACACACUUCAACAGACCCAUGUCUCUCCUAAACUGAGGACUCCACAUCUGGAUGUGGUAAUCCAGAUGAGGCCUCAGCAGUGCAGAGUAGACGACCUGAUGGCCAUGCUGCUUUUGAUGAAGCACGGGAUACAGCUGUCUUCUUCAGCUGCUUUUUUCAGCAGUGCUGUACUCCAUCCUUACAUCCCUCAGUUUCAUGCAACAUUGCAUUAUCCAUCACAAAUAACUCUCAAGUAUGGAUACUGCUCUUUUCCAUAAUAUUGUAAUUGCUUUUCAGAUUGAUCAAGGAAUGUGUAUCUGUUUGGAUAAGUCUGAUUUUCAGUUUAAAACUCAGCAAAAACAUUUCAGAUCGUCAUUGAUUUCAGAUUAGCAUGUGCAAAAUCAUUGUUUAAUGUGCUGAUUACCAAAAUAAUAAUAAUAAUAAAAAAAUAGUUUAUUAAUCCUGGAAGCACAAUCCUAUAUGAAGCUUGCCAAGUAUUAGUGUAUAUUCACUGUAAAGAAUAAGAACUGCAAACUUGAAAUCAUCUGGACUGAAAAUGAGGUUUCUAUCAAAAAUAAAGAUGGACCUCAUUUCUUUCUGAAGUUAGCAUUCUGAAAAUUUUAAUAGAUCUUAUACUUUUGGCAUCUCAAAUUAUUUGAAAGUCCAGCAGUUUACUGCAUCAUAACACUGCAUAUAGUAGCGUUCAUGUAAACUAGAAAGGUUACUGAAUAGGCAAAAUAUUAAAGAGACAAAAGCCAGAUUAGUAUUGUGUUUAGAAUUUGGAAUCGUUUUUGUAGUGCAAAAGGAAGAGCAGACAGUGAAAAAUAGCAAAUGCUAAAAUUACCAAAAGAUGGAGAAAUGUUCACAUUCUUGAAUCACCACCUAAGUAGACCCUUUACACACAGUGAAUGACUCAUCAGAACAGACCAGACUCCUGCUGUCCCUUGGGCACGGUAGUCAGCUGUGUUUAGUGUUUCAUUGCCUCAAGAAUAUCAGUUCAUUUCAAUAUACGCUUUCCAGUUUCUUCAAGUUAACUCCUUUCUGAUAUCCGUUUUUCCUGAUAGUCAGUUUGAGAAUCACUGUCGUGUAGUGUUCACACACUGAGAAAGUGCUUAGUCAUUUCUGAGAUGGCUUGUUUCAAACCAUGUGAACUUAGUUUCUGGAAUACAGUCAUUUUGCUCUGCUGUUCAGAUGACUGAAAAAAUAUACUAAUUUGUUACAGUGUGAUUUUUUUUUUCCCAAGUUCCUUGGAUUUACCUUCUCUUUCCUCUGUAUGACGUAUCUGUUCCUAUUUGUGCAAAACAGAUGAGCUCUGAUACCAAUGGAAUCUUGCCCUGGAUUUGGGAUGUGUCUGCAUCUAGUUCAGUUAUGUCUGGAAACCUAGGAAUUGACUUAUUUGUACUAUUUAGGAUGCAUUGUGUGCUUUAUUUAAUCUAAAUCUAGAGCUAAUCACAGGUUUUAGAAUCAAGGUUUGAAUAGGCAGCCUGGGUUGUCUAGAUUAAUUCUCUGAAAUUCCAGACAUAAACAAAAACAUGAAAAAAAAGAAGGGAAUACAUUACAUGAAAAUGCCCUGAAAGGCACAAAUAAAUGUUGGUAUGGGGGAUACAGAGAAAUGGCAGUGGUGCUAUCACUUCCAAGCAUGUCACUGUAUAGUACUACUGGCGAGCUUUGUCAUGCAUACAUGUAGGUUUCUGCUGUGAUCACUGCUGUCAGAGAGAUUCAGUCUCAAUAGCAAUGUGUUUGAGAAAUAAUCCUCAUAAAAGGAAGUUGUAUUUAGGGUAGAAGAAGGAAAAAUAAACAAACCAAAAAACUGAAUGGCAUUCAUGAAUUCAUGGUUUGUGAUCACGAGACAGAAAAAUCAGCCAAAGGGGGAAAAAAGAAAGGAAAGAAAGAAAGGAAAGGAAGGAAGGAAGGAAGGAAGGAAGGAAGAAAAGAAGAAAAGAAGAAAAGAAGAAAAGAAGAAAAGAAGAAAAGAAGAAGAAAAGAAGGAAAACAAAAACAAAUCAUCCUAAGUGUUCAAGGGAACUAGCUAAAGCAGAACAGCUGGUUGCUCUGAGACUACACAGAAUGGUUUGAUGAUCUGUUAACAUACGGGAAGAGAACGUGUGUUCUGUGCCCUUCCAGCGUCAACUGUCUGAAGCACCUACUCAGUUCAGAGGAGAGAAUUGAUACUCAGUAUAUUUGAAAACUGGAUUACCAUUUUUAACCAGAACUAAAAGUCUUGUCAUUACUUCUGAUAGUGUCAUUUAUUUGAGUGAGUCUCCCAGUUCCUUCUAGACGGCAUUUCCAGCUUGAAAUUCUUUUCAAAGUUGGUCUUCUGGCACCUCUUAAAAAAAAAAAAAAAACAGAUGUAUAAAAUGAAGAAUUCCAUGAAGAAUGAAGCCAACAUAUGUAAAUACAACUGCACUGACUGCAGUGGGAGUUCAGCCUGCUUACUCAGAGGUUACAUGACCCAAAGAAAAGCUGGGACUUGUCCAGGAUCAUGGUGAAGAGACAGUGUCAGAGUUCCCAGCACCUGAGUCAUGAUGUACUUAGCUGAGUCAUCUACAACUCUGUCAGUACAUGGCUUCAUACAUAGUGCAUCAUGCCUUCUUCCUUUCACUAACUCUUGAUUUGCUCCUAAUUUGAACUGAGCAAUCCUAGCAUUUAUCUUGUGUUCAGUUUCAUGUAUGUGUAUCUCUCCAUCAAAUUUGUAGUCUUAUUUUUUUGUUCUUUCUCAUCAUUCUGUCCCAUCCAGGAUGUGUGUCAAUGGCUUCCAGGUUCUGUAAGGAAUGUGAGCUUGGAGCAUAUCUAUUCCUUCACAUACCAUGCUUUGGAGAUCAAGGACAGCAGGACCACUUCUGACCUCUGUCUACAGAUAAUGACUACCAUGCUUUCCACUUUUCAAAUCAAACAUAAUUUUUCCCAACUUCUCAUCAUGAGAAACAUUGCUUUGUGUUGUCAGGGAAAUGAUUCACUGAGUUUGGACUUUUCUUAAAUAAAUUAGUGUAAUUUUUCUUUAACCUGACCCCUGGUUCUAUAGAGAACUCUACUACUGUUAACUUUCACAGCUUUUACCCAAAAACAGCACAAUGUCUAUCUGUAGUUAGAGCCAAUAUUGUGACACCAUUGGU
ensembl:lncRNA